rnacentral:rRNA from 1 species
UACGUAGGGUGCAAGCGUUGUCCGGAAUUAUUGGGCGUAAAGAGCUCGUAGGCGGUUUGUCGCGUCUGCUGUGAAAACCCGAGGCUCAACCUCGGGCCUGCAGUGGGUACGGGCAGACUAGAGUGCGGUAGGGGAGAUUGGAAUUCCCGGUGUAGCGGUGAAAUGCGCAGAUAUCAGGAGGAACACCGGUGGCGAAGGCGGGUCUCUGGGCCGUAACUGACGCUGAGGAGCGAAAGCGUGGGGAGCGAACAGG